ACCUUAUACUUGCAAAGACAAAUGUGAAGGAGUUGUAAACUGGAAUUGUACGUGCUUGGAAUUUACCUAAUAUGGAUAGAUAUGUAUCAUAUGUUGUAGGGGGAAUAUAUAUCCAUAGCAAAAUGUACCGUUAAAAUACAAAACAAAAAAUUGAUAAACCAAAAAAAUAAAUAAAAAGGAGGAGAGGGUAUGCGUAGUGCACACCCAUGGUUUACCAUGAGAUUUAACAGUUAAUCCCCACCUCAACAAGCUAUUCUUGGGCAGAUGGCAACUUGGCACAGAAACCAUGCCAUAUUCGUUGCUUAUUAAGCUAAAUAUUUGGACCUUUUAAAUACCCACAAAAAUUAAUUUAUUCAUAAAAACAAUAAAACUAAAACCAAUACAACAACAACAAGAAGAAUCACAGAGUUCAAACUUUUUCUGAUAACCAAUUCCUCUCCGAAUUGAAAAAGGUUUUAUAAAGCAUAUAGCAUCAUGAGAUUCAAAAGUGGAAGCAGCGUGGAAGUAUUGAGCAAAAAGGAGAUGCCUUCAGGCUCCUGGUGCUGUGCCAAGAUAAUCUGUGGUAACGGCCACAACUACACUGUUAGAUAUGAUGGAUUUGAGGGUGCCUCUGAUCAGGCCGCUGUCGAGAGGGUACCCAGAAAUGCAAUUAGGCCUUGCCCUCCUCCACUGGAAGUGUCAGAGAAUUGGGUUCCUGGUGAUCUCGUCGAGGUUUUUGACAACUUUUCUUGGAAAAUGGCAACAAUUUCAAAGGUUUUUGGAAAGCAGUACUUUUUAGUCAGGCUACUUGGAUCCUCCCAAGAAUUUAAGGUCGGAAAAUUUGAAAUCCGAGUCAGACAGUUUUGGCAAGAUGACAAAUGGGUUGUGAUUGGAAAGGGUUUGAACAAUUAUGAGUAUGGAAAGCGUGGUGAAACUUUAACUCUAAAGUACAACCAAAGUUCUUGUCUCAAAGCUCAGAAGAAUGAAACGCACGUUGCCUCCUCUCAUAAUCUGAAGAGAAGAUCGCCCUACUUGUAUUCCCAAGAUGUAGCAUAUAAUGGAUCUGCUGAGAAGUUUAGAGCUGUUGAAAGAGAGGGCAAGCGUCUCCGAGUAAUUUCUGCUAAUUUAUGCACAUUUUCUGAACAGGUAGAUGUUGCGUUACCAAGACAUAUGCAGGGUGGAAAAGAAAUACGUGCUUCUCUUAACAACAGAACAACUGUAUUUUCUGAUGUGGAUAUGGAAAGAAGGAAACCAAGUGGUGACGUUGGGUGUUUCUUUGCUGUUAACUUAAGGUUGAAUGAUGCUGAUAGUGUGACAUGCUCUGUUGGUAGUUGUAGUAUCGGUAGCAAUGAUUCCUAUAAGUCACCUCCUCCUGUUUCUGCUAGUUCUACUGAAGAUUUUGAUGAUCAGUUAUCUGAUGCUGAAUCUAUUUGUCAAUUGGGAUAUGAGGAAGGAAACUCUCUCCUUCCUGCAAAGGAAGAAUUGGCGGCUGAGAUCCAUAGGUUAGAGUUGCAUGCCUACCGUUGCACGAUAGGGGCAUUACAUGCGUCAGGACCUUUAAGUUGGGAACAAGAAGAAUUGGGCCGAACUAGGAGGCUUGUCGCCUUUCUUUCAAGUCUCCAAAGAUGAUCUUGGGGCUUGCCAGCUUUCUCUCGGUCUAGACGCGAGGGUAAUUAUUAUAGGACAGCUUCUGAUUCUUCUUUUCUCAUUAACAUAUCUGGUCUCUUCAUUCUUCCAUGUCAGGCCACCUGUGAGCCUUAGAUAACUGUUUUGCUGAAGGAUGUAAGACAAGAAUCUUGUGGCUGACACAGGAUGACCUGAGAUGUGGAUGCUUUAAAGGUUUUAUUUCAAACCUUUGCCUCAGCACAUCCGCAUAUAACUUAUUUGACUUGCUGAUAUCUCUCUUAUUCUCAAUCUGCUAGAAAUUUAUAAUGUGAACGCAGUUGCAUUUCGUGACAUUCUUUGUUUAUAUGGUUUACUGCUGUUUAUAUUUGGUUGUGUGAUAUUCUCUUUUUCAUUUAGGCGGGGAAGGUUAUAAGUUUAUGAAGCCUAGUCAAGGGUCUUUCAAUUUUAAAAGUAUAGUUCAAAAUAUUGUAAUUUUCCAUAAGCAUGGGCAGUCAAUCUAUUUUCAAGCUUAAAGUUUCCAUCAAACAGGUAAACAUUGUUAAUUAAGAUGUGUGAUAUUGUCCAGAAGUUUUGUAUUGGGAGUGGUUUCAAACUCUAAUCUCUAAUCUGCAAACCAGGAAUGAAUUUGUCAACUCUCUGGGUGUAAGCAGUAAGAAGAUAUCAAUGUCCUGAUUAUAGGCCUCUGGACUGCCCUACAGCUCUUGAAUUCUUUGUGAUGAUUGCAGUAUUUAUAGCAUAUCACAAACUUUUUGCUUGCUCCUGGUUGACACAGAUUGUCAGCCAUAUUCUUUUACUGCAAGUUUUGAACUGAGCAGAUGCUUUGUACGUGAAAUAUAUAUUAGCUUGGUUUGAAUACCAUAAAGCUGUGACUGGUGUCCACCGCCCAUCAAAUUUUUGAAUUUGAUGCAAUUGUUCCAAGGAUCUUGAGCAUGUGAUGAUGACAUCAUAUCCCUUGGAGUUGCUCUUAGCAACUCAAAAUGAUUCUGCUAAUCUGUGCUCAGUUUGUACUUUCACCCCCUGCCAUUGUUUGGUCUCUCAACUUAACAUGUCCUGUCGUUAAUUUGUUUUUAUCACCAGAGAAGAGAAGCUGGUGUAGCUACUGUUCAUGAGGAGGUUGCUUGUACUUUAUUUGUAUAUCUUGUGAAGAUUUUCAGAGCAUGCGAAAGGACAACGAAGAUUUUCAUAUCAAGUGUUUUUGAAACCAAGCAAAUUCAU